CUACGGGUCGCUGCAGUAGGGAAUCUUCGGCAAUGGACGGAAGUCUGGCCGAGCAACGCCGCGUGAGUGAAGAAGGUUUUCGGAUCGUAAAGCUCUGUUGUAAGAGAAGAACGAGUGUGAGAGUGGAAAGUUCACACUGUGACGGUAUCUUACCAGAAAGGGACGGCUAACUACGUGCCAGCAGCCGCGGUAAUACGUAGGUCCCGAGCGUUGUCCGGAUUUAUUGGGCGUAAAGCGAGCGCAGGCGGUUAGAUAAGUCUGAAGUUAAAGGCUGUGGCUUAACCAUAGUACGCUUUGGAAACUGUUUAACUCGAGUGCAGAAGGGGAGAGUGGAAUUCCAUGUGUAGCGGUGAAAUGCGUAGAUAUAUGGAGGAACACCGGUGGCGAAGGCGGCUCUCUGGUCUGUAACUGACGCUGAGGCUCGAAAGCGUGGGGAGCAAACAGGAUUAGAUACCCCGGUAGUC
rnacentral:rRNA from 1 species